UACAAACUUAUAUUCACAAGUAGUGGAGGUCGCUUAUAAACGAUCGCGUUAAAUGAAUUCUUGGCAAGAGUUUCAUGCUCAUCAUAGUAACGAAUGCCUCGUCAAUACUUAUAGUUUUCAUAAUGCUUAAUGAUCUUUGAUUGUAUCUUUAUUGUGCUGUUCACGAAACGAACUUUUGAAGAAUGCUUGAAUUGUUGUAUGCGCUUUCCCAUCCAAUUCAAUAACUUAAGGAGAACUUGAAGGUUAAUUUAAGCGGACUUAAUUAACCUAGGGUGUUGAGUUUCUUGAUUUAUCGAAAGAACAACUGAAAAUUGGUUUAUGUGCAAGUGUGUCAUGUGUGGAGAAGAACCCUCUAGCUAGCCCAUCAUCCAUAGUUUACCCAAAUUCAUCCAAAAUCUGUUUUAGUUUACAAUCUAUUUGUUUUGUUUUCAAAUUCGUCAAAAUCAAAUCCUGCUUUACUUUAAAGUGUUUUAUUAGUCAAAAUCUGUUUUGAUUUGUGUUUUUAAGUG
rnacentral:lncRNA from 1 species